GAAUACAUGUUUGUUUCCUCUCCUGUUGUGAAUAACUUGCUCCACUGUGACCAAGGGACAUGGGACUGAUGACAGUAGUUCUUGGCACUUUUGCUAGAGUAGGACCCAUGCGCGUGUGGCUUCCAAGACUGCUGCACCAAAUCUGAAGUCAUUAUAAUUUAUUUGGAAUGGGGCAGGGGAGAUUCUGUGCCCUUGUACACCUGUGGGUUUCAAGUUAACCUUCCAACCUUGCUGUAGAGGACAAUUAACACGAGGGACUUUUGUAGAGGAGAUGCCGAAGGAGCUAAAACCCGAAGGCGUAUUAUAAUGAUUACUUGGAGAAUUUUCCUGUCUAGGUGCCUGGGUUGAAAAUAGAGAAAAUUGUAGGUUGAGUUAUAACAAAGGGAACUUUGGUUCCUGCUGUUGAGGAGCCCUCCUAAUGCUUUAUAGGUCCAUCCUCUUCUCAAAAAUGAUGCCACAGGAAUGAUCUCAGCUCCAGUUGGAAAGAUUAAUUCUUUAUGGUUCAGAACACUGGAUUCUGCAUAAUGAUGUUAAGACAAGGAAGCAACAGAUUUGUGCUGCCUUGCUGUGCCCUCAUCCCUCCCCCAAGGUGGGCUCCAGAUGAAUAAAAGACCCAAAUACCGGGAAAUCUCAACCUGAGACAAAAUGUUUCAUGAGAAUCCACAGACGACAUAUACUGAACCGUCAGAAUGUCGGGACUACUCUGAUAUCCUGCAGCAUCGAGAGUGUUAUCAGUAUUCAUUCAUAUAUUUAAUGUCGAACAUGUAAGACGAUUUCAUGAGAAAAGGAAGAGAGAGAAGAUUUGGCUCUUCCUUGGACAAGUGAGGAAAGAAGACCUGGAGAGGUGAGUUAGCUGUCCACGCUUAUACAGUGACCCAAGGUGUUCCGACUGCCAAUGAGACAGAGAUGUGAGGAUUUCUAUACUUCUGAGACUGAUCCAACACAGCAGUGCUGUCGGCAACCAUUAUAUCUCAAAGUCUUUCUCCUUCCACUCACAGGUCCCAGUACGCACUCCUCUAUAUCAGGUUCCAGGCCACCUGGACGCGCUGGUCCCUCUUCUGGCCUCCUUACUUUCCUUACUUCUGUCCUUAUAACCUUCCUCCCAAUUCUGUAACGUUCCAGAUCUUAUCAGGCUCAGGUCACAGCAGCCCUGUUAUUCUUUCUCAAACACACCAAACACCUGCCCUGAAUGCUCUUCUCUCAGAUACCCACCUGGCUGGCUCUUUCUUUUCAUUCAGGUCUCUGCUCAAAUGUCACCUCCUCAGAGAGGGCUUCCUAAGAACACUUCCCCAUGAGUUCUUCAUUCAUUGUUUUUUUAGCAUCAAUUAAAUAUACUUUUAAGCUUUUAUUUAUUUUGAGAUGUAAUGCAUAUACUGAACAGUGCAUGAAGCACAAAGGCCUCCUCAACUGCAGGCCUCCAGCUCCUGGGCCACUGUCACUGACGUGGACGUCUUCCUUACUGGACCCCACCUAAUGGCUUCAGGACUGAAUUAUUGAGAAAGAGGAAGACAGGACGAGGAAGGGAGGAAGCUUCCACACCGCUCUGAGUCCUCGUUCUUGGUCCUAACCAAGUCGUAAGGUUGGGCCCAACAUAGGGCUUUCUCCAUCACUAAGCACCUAAUUUCUAAUGACUGCUCAAGCAGCUGGGAGCUUGGCAUUCCUGUAGGAGUGGGACCUUCCUGGGCCAGCCCUUAAUCCAGAAGUCUGAUAAACAAAUUCCUUAAUUUCCUACAGGGUGGUUCUUUGAACAACAGAAUUUUGUAAGGAUUACCCAUAACUACGCAGUAAGUGAUUUCACGCUCAUCAAGGGAUCACUUUCUCCACAACUCCAGCAUGCAAAGAAGUUUACAGUCAGAAUUGCCCCACGUGAUAUCAUUGGCAUAGUUGCUUUAGAGGGAAUUUGUACGCCUGCUUUACCGAUGUUUUGUCUUUCUCUUAACCUUCUCAACAGAGUUAUCAUCCCAGCCUACAAUCUCAUUAUGUGACAUUGAAUAAUUCAUUGUAUCUCUUUGGACUUGUUUCUUCUUCUGCAAAGACAGAAUUGAAGUUGUAAUGUCUUCUAUGGUCUAACAUUUUGUGAUUCCAUACAAGGUUCUAGAAGAAGCGUUAAGAUAUUAGUCAUUCACCUCUAUGUGUGAAUUAAGGAACUUUAACCUAGAGAAAGAGACUGAUAGUAGGGAGAGUUGGACAGAGUUUUCAGACCUUCAUCACCUGAGGGAAGUAAAAGAAAUGGUAAAAGGGAUUUGGUUAGCAGCUUUAGAAUGAAUAAUAACAAUGACAACCGCUUAGUGAGUGCUAGCCAUCAGACACUGAUCUAAGUGCUUUGCAAAUGUUAUGUCAGGUCAUCCUUACAUUACAGCAGUGUAUCCUAGUGCAUAACCAAAAGCUGUGAAAUUAAACAGAUCUGAGUUCAGAUCCUCUCUUUGCCAUAUAUUUUCUCCGUGAUUUGGGGCAAAUUACCUUAACCUUCACAGUCUCAAUUGAUUCAUCUGUAAAGUAUAAAAUUUGCCCUUUAGGUUUUGGGGGAAGAUUAAAGGAGAGAAUGCAUGUAAACGGCUCUGCACAAGGUAUUGCACAAAAUAGUGAUUUAAUAAUGGCAGCUAUUUACAAUA